UAGCUGAAAGCUCAGUGUAUUUUCCUCACACACACUGAUCCAGAUUCAGAAGACCCCCAGACCAAGAAAAAGACCAGCAUGUCUUCCAUCUGUAUCUGCACAUUGAUCCUCACUCUCUGCAUCACAGUGUGUAGAGGAGACAUUUUGGUGACCCAGACUCCAGAAUCCAUAUCAGUUCAGCUGGGAGGUUCUGCCACCAUCAGGUGUAAAGCCAGCAGCGCCAUUGAUGAUGACUUAGCCUGGUACCAUCAGAAACCAGGACAAGCUCCGAAAUUCAUUAUUAAUUUUGCUUCUAGUAUGAGUUCAGGUCGAUACCAAGGUAGUGGAUAUGAUUAUGACCUCAGUCUGACCAUCAGUAACAUACAGGCUGAAGAUGCAGGAGUUUAUUACUGUCAACAGCAUGAAGCUUUUCCACUCACUUUUGGCGGAGGCACCAAACUCAUCAUCCAAACUGGUGUGACGGUGCCUCCGUCCAUCUCCCUGUUCCCCCCGUCCUCUGAGCAGAUGGCCCAGGGUCAGCCCACUCUGGUCUGCCUGCUCACCGACUACAGCCCAGAAGGGGCCACAGUGAGCUGGGAAGUGGACGGAAACCAGGUGACGGAGGGCGUCCUGACAGGGGAGGAGGAGGAGAAGGAAGGGGGGAAGUUUGUCCGCAUCAGCACCCUGUCACUGAGCAAGGCAUUAUGGGACAAACAAGACCUGUACUCUUGUAAGGUGACGCACAGCGGCAGCACAACGUCUGCAGAGCUCCGGAGGACACAGUGCAGCGUCUAGGGACAUGGGACAUGUCUGUGAUCACAUGUUUCUAAUUCUGUUUGUCUGAUCCCUGUCUGCUUCACUGUUUGAUUUUAAAUAAAAUGCUUGCUGUAUUGAAGAAACUCA